GACGAACGCUGGCGGUGUGCUUAACACAUGCAAGUCGAACGGAAAGGCCUGCUUUCCCUUGUGGAUUGCGGGUACUCGAGUGGCGAACGGGUGAGUAACACGUGAGUGAUCUGCCCCCAACUUGGGUAUAAGCCUGGGAAACUGGGUCUAAUUCCCGAUAGGACUGCAGGGUGGUGCCUGUGGUGGAAAACGAUUUUCUAGUGGUUGGGGAUGAGCUCGCGGCCUAUCAGCUUGUUGGUGGGGUAAUGGCCUACCAAGGCGGCGACGGGUAGCCGGCCUGAGAGGGUGGACGGCCACAUUGGGACUGAGAUACGGCCCAGACUCCUACGGGAGGCAGCAGUGGGGAAUAUUGCACAAUGGGCGGAAGCCUGAUGCAGCGACGCCGCGUGGGGGAUGACGGCCUUCGGGUUGUAAACUCCUUUCGACCGCGAGGAAGCCACCUGGUUAGAAGGGUGGUGACGGUAGUGGUAGAAGAAGCACCGGCUAACUACGUG
rnacentral:rRNA from 1 species